rnacentral:rRNA from 1 species
GACGAACGCUGGCGGCGUGCCUAAUACAUGCAAGUCGAGCGGACUUUCAAGAAGCUUGCUUUUUGGAAGUUAGCGGCGGACGGGUGAGUAACACGUGGGCAACCUGCCUGCAAGACGGGGAUAACUCCGGGAAACCGGGGCUAAUACCGGAUAAUAUCUUCCUUCGCAUGAAGGAAGGUUGAAAGGCGGCGCAAGCUGCCGCUUGCAGAUGGGCCCGCGGCGCAUUAGCUAGUUGGUGAGGUAACGGCUCACCAAGGCGACGAUGCGUAGCCGACCUGAGAGGGUGAUCGGCCACACUGGGACUGAGACACGGCCCAGACUCCUACGGGAGGCAGCAGUAGGGAAUCUUCCGCAAUGGACGAAAGUCUGACGGAGCAACGCCGCGUGAGCGAAGAAGGUCUUCGGAUCGUAAAGCUCUGUUGUCAGGGAAGAACAAGUACCGUUCGAACAGGGCGGUACCUUGACGGUACCUGACCAGAAAGCCACGGCUAACUACGUG